CCUACGGGUGGCUGCAGUGGGGAAUAUUGGACAAUGGGGGGAACCCUGAUCCAGCCAUGCCGCGUGUGUGAAGAAGGCCCUCGGGUUGUAAAGCACUUUCAGUGAGGAAGAACGCCUGGUGGUUAAUACCCAUCAGGAAAGACAUCACUCACAUAAGAAGCACCGGCUAACUCCGUGCCAGCAGCCGCGGUAAUACGGAGGGUGCGAGCGUUAAUCGGAAUUACUGGGCGUAAAGCGCGCGUAGGUGGCUUGAUAAGCCGGUUGUGAAAGCCCCGGGCUCAACCUGGGAACGGCAUCCGGAACUGUCAAGCUAGAGUGCAGGAGAGGAAGGUAGAAUUCCCGGUGUAGCGGUGAAAUGCGUAGAGAUCGGGAGGAAUACCAGUGGCGAAGGCGGCCUUCUGGACUGACACUGACACUGAGGUGCGAAAGCGUGGGUAGCAAACAGGAUUAGAUACCCGGGUAGUC
rnacentral:rRNA from 1 species